rnacentral:rRNA from 1 species
UACGUAGGGGGCUAGCGUUGUCCGGAAUCAUUGGGCGUAAAGAGCGUGUAGGCGGCCCGGUAAGUCCGCUGUGAAAGUCGGGGGCUCAACCCUCGGAUGCCGGUGGAUACUGUCGGGCUCGAGUACGGAAGGGGCAGAGGGAAUUUCCGGUGGAGCGGUGAAAUGCAUUGAGAUCGGAAAGAACACCAACGGCGAAAGCACUCUGCUGGGCCGACACUGACACUGAGAGACGAAAGCUAGGGGAGCAAAUGGG